rnacentral:rRNA from 1 species
AGAGUUUGAUCCUGGCUCAGGACGAACGCUGGCGGCGUGCCUAACACAUGCAAGUCGAACGGAGAAUUUCAAUAAGUUUACUUGGCGAAAUUUUUAGUGGCGGACGGGUGAGUAACGCGUGGGUAACCUACCCAUAAAGCCGGGACAACCCUUGGAAACGAGGGCUAAUACCGGAUACCCUUAUAGAGUGGCAUCACUGUAUAAGAAAAGGUGGCCUCUGAAGAUGCUACCGAUUAUGGAUGGACCCGCGUCUGAUUAGCUAGUUGGUGGGGUAAAGGCCUACCAAGGCGACGAUCAGUAGCCGGCCUGAGAGGGUGAACGGCCACACUGGGACUGGGACACGGCCCAGACUCCUACGGGAGGCAGCAGUGGGGAAUCUUCCGCAAUGGACGAAAGUCU